CGCCCAGGCCGCUGGGGCCGGCGAGGCCAGGCCAGGCGGGCGCCGUGUCCCGCCCCGAGGCCCCAGAAGGGCCCGCGGGGAGGCCAGGCGUCUGCUUCCCUCCUCAGAACCCGCUGUCCUCCUGCAUGUGACCCUGGGAAAGCCUCUGGGCCAUUCUCUGCCCCCGCCCCUCAUCUGCACAUAGGGUCGCUGACAUAGGUGUCCCGUGAGGUGCGAACUCCUUCCUCCUUGGGUGGGAAGCUUGAUCCCCUGCCCUCUCACCUGGUAACUUGGAGAGCCGCCUUGUCCUGACCUCACCUGUUAGAGGGGGACGAUGGUGGAACAUAUUUUGGAGCUCCCUGUGAAGAAGAGGGAAAAUCCCCUACUCAUCUAAAACGCUUGACUAGCCCAUGCCAGCCCUCGGGCCCCCUGCACCGUCAGACACUCCCUGUUCCUGAUGCUGGGGGUUCCAGGUACGUCCCGCAGCCCCCCCAGCCUCCUUUCCUAACACCCACCCAGAAGGAGUCUGCUGCAGAAAUGCAAACUGAAGGAAAGCAAUGGCAUGUUCAAAGAUCUAUGAGAAGAGAAUGGGGAAGUUGCUCAAUCAUAGAAAAAAAUGUAAUAAUAAUCUUUUUUCCUUCCUAGUCCUAGCCUUUAUUAUAGUUCACCAAAAUACUGAAUAUCCCUGUGGAUAAAAUGAGAGUUCCUGGGGCCAGGAUUCUCACCUGGCCAUGGCUGACUAGCUCA